rnacentral:rRNA from 1 species
CCUACGGGCGGGAGCAGUGAGGAAUAUUGGUCAAUGGACGAGAGUCUGAACCAGCCAAGUAGCGUGAAGGAUGACUGCCCUAUGGGUUGUAAACUUCUUUUAUAUGGGAAUAAAAUGUUCCACGUGUGGGAUUUUGUAUGUACCAUAUGAAUAAGGAUCGGCUAACUCCGUGCCAGCAGCCGCGGUAAUACGGAGGAUCCGAGCGUUAUCCGGAUUUAUUGGGUUUAAAGGGAGCGUAGGUGGAUUGUUAAGUCAGUUGUGAAAGUUUGCGGCUCAACCGUAAAAUUGCAGUUGAAACUGGCAGUCUUGAGUACAGUAGAGGUGGGCGGAAUUCGUGGUGUAGCGGUGAAAUGCUUAGAUAUCACGAAGAACUCCGAUUGCGAAGGCAGUUCACUGGACUGCAACUGACACUGAGGCUCGAAAGUGUGGGUAUCAAACAGGAUUAGAUACCCCAGUAGUC